rnacentral:rRNA from 1 species
GACGAACGCUGGCGGCGUGCUUAACACAUGCAAGUCGAACGGAAAGGCCCUGCUUGCAGGGUACUCGAGUGGCGAACGGGUGAGUAACACGUGGGUGAUCUGCCCUGCACUUCGGGAUAAGCCUGGGAAACUGGGUCUAAUACCGGAUAGGAGCCAUUUUUAGUGUGAUGGUUGGAAAGUUUUUUCGGUGUAGGAUGAGCUCGCGGCCUAUCAGCUUGUUGGUGGGGUAAUGGCCUACCAAGGCGGCGACGGGUAGCCGGCCUGAGAGGGUGGACGGCCACAUUGGGACUGAGAUACGGCCCAGACUCCGACGGGAGGCAGAAGUGGGGAAUAUUGCACAAUGGGCGCAAGCCUGAUGCAGCGACGCCGCGUGGGGGAUGACGGCCUUCGGGUUGUAAACUCCGUUCGCUAGGGACGAAGCUUUUUGUGACGGUACCUAGAUAAGAAGCACCGGCUAACUACGUG